CCUACGGGAGGCUGCAGUGGGGAAUAUUGGACAAUGGGGGAAACCCUGAUCCAGCGACGCCGCGUGAGUGAAGAAGUAUUUCGGUAUGUAAAGCUCUAUCAGCAGGGAAGAAAGAAAUGACGGUACCUGAGUAAGAAGCCCCGGCUAACUACGUGCCAGCAGCCGCGGUACUACGUAGGGGGCAAGCGUUAUCCGGAAUUACUGGGUGUAAAGGGCGCGUAGACGGUAAUGCACGUCUGGAGUGAAAGGCGGGGGCCCAACCCCCGUACUGCUCUGGAAACGGUGUAACUGGAGUGCAGGAGAGGCAGGCGGAAUUCCUAGUGUAGCGGUGAAAUGCGUAGAUAGUAGGAGGAACACCAGUGGCGAAGGCGGCCUGCUGGACUGUAACUGACGUUGAGGCUCGAAAGCGUGGGGAGCAAACAGGAUUAGAUACCCCGGUAGUC
rnacentral:rRNA from 1 species